GUGCCAGCAGCCGCGGUAAUACGGGAGUGGCAAGCGUUAUCCGGAAUUAUUGGGCGUAAAGAGCUCGUAGGCGGUUCAACAAGUCGGUCGUGAAAGUUUAGGGCUUAACCCUGAAAUGUCGAUCGAUACUGUUGUGACUAGGAUAUGGUAGAGGUGAGUGGAAUUCCGAGUGUAGCGGUGAAAUGCGUAGAUAUUCGGAGGAACACCAAUUGCGAAGGCAGUUCACUGGACCGUGAUCGACGCUGAGGAGCGAAAGCUAGGGGAGCAAACAGGAUUAGAUA
rnacentral:rRNA from 1 species